UCAAAAUUCCAGUGAGGUUUCAGAUGCAAGUUAUAAAAACGAAAGGCCCUUGAUGGAAAUCCGGUCAUCGCCGAUCAUCACCUUUUUUUUACUUUAGCCGAAGCAUAUAACACAGCCAGUUUGGUAGGACGACUGAUCGAACUUCGCCCAAUCAUCAACUCAUCCAAUCAAGUUGGUAAGCCAAAAAAUAACAAAGUCCAAUUUAUUUAUUUUUUGCUUUUUAUUUAAUGCACAUUUAAGUUUCUGCUGCCCAAAUAAUUCCUUUGCAUUGCUAUUUAAAGUCCUAUAAAUACUGCAAGUUCGAGCACAUAAUCUUACACAUACACAAAACUAGUAUCGAGUUUGAAGUUAGUAGCUCUCGAGACCAAGUACAAUAGAAACUGGGGAAACCAAUUGUACGUGUUUCUGAGGGGGAAAGAAUCAAGUUGAAUGAGGUAAGAUAGAAUUAUAUACAGCUAGGGAGAUCUUUAGAACUGUAAACAUUCCAUAUUGUUAGAACUGGAAUGUUUACGGUUCUAAUGACCUCCCUUACCUUAUUGUUAUGCUACUUUCCCAAGUGUUCUAGCAGAUCGAUUAAACAGGAGGAGAUGGAGGUGCCGGCAGCCGGUACCAUCAUUCACGUUGUUUUUUUCUCGUGGUGGGCAUUGAGAAGGUGCUCGAUCUCGAUAGAGUAGUUCAUUACGGAACAUCCGUUGUUUUCUUACUCACGGUGGGUAAGAUUGUGUUUUCAAUCUAAAUCACUGAUUAACUUAUAGUCAUCUUAAUUAUCUCAAAAAUAUAUAUAUUCUUGAUUCUUCAUUCUCAGCACAAGCCUUUCAUAAGAAAAUGGUAUCCUACGUAGUUUUAAGAUGAAAUUAUAUUCAACGACCUUGUCACCUGUGGCAAUCAACAAUUUUAUUUUAUUUUU